GGGUAGCAAGAAAUUUCAUAGGUUGUGGGCACACGGCUGGAUGGUCGAUAGCUGGAAAGUUUACCACAGGUCUUCAUGUUGUCCAGAAGCCAUGUUCUGUGUUGGCUGGGCAAGCGGAGUCUAUUACCACAGUUCAUACCAGCAGUGUAGAAAGUAGUGGAUGAGGUAACAGGAACAUGGCAGUAACUCCCGAGAGGAGAACCAUAGUUUCCAGAAGAGCAAAUGUUGGAUGGCAUGGUGAUAUGAACACACUUCAGAUAUAUCUUGCAGGCCAUCAUCACCUCCAGAGAUACAGCUUAUGCUGACUUGACAAUCCUGGAUAUUUAUCAACCAAUACGAAUUUCAUAAA